CACUUUCUGCUUAUGGGGCUAAUUCUAUAUGGGGAGAUCAGACACCGACAUCUGCUUGGGGAAAUGUAUUACCAACUAGCAGGAGAUAACAAGCAAACAUAUAUGGCAAAGAAUGCAAUCAUGAGUACUAGAAUAUUAUCACUAUGCAUAUAUGCAUGGUUUAUGAAUGCUGACAAACAGACAUUUCUAACACAAGCAAGUCCAACGAUCAAGGAACAAACAUCCGGUACUACAUCUCAAGAGAGAAAGCCUG
rnacentral:lncRNA from 1 species